GUGUCAGCCGCCGCGGUAAUACGUAGGGUGCGAGCGUUAAUCGGAAUUACUGGGCGUAAAGCGUGCGCAGGCGGUGCACCAAGCUCGAUGUGAAAGCCCCGGGCUUAACCUGGGAAUUGCAUUGAGGACUGGUGUGCUCGAGUGCGGCAGAGGGGGGUGGAAUUCCACGUGUAGCAGUGAAAUGCGUAGAGAUGUGGAGGAACACCGAUGGCGAAGGCAGCCCCCUGGGCCGACACUGACGCUCAUGCACGAAAGCGUGGGGAGCAAACAGGAUUAGAAACCCCCGUAGUCC
rnacentral:rRNA from 1 species